rnacentral:rRNA from 1 species
ACGCUGGCGGCAGGCUUAACACAUGCAAGUCGAACGAUAAGCUAGACUUCGGUUUAGUGGACAGUGGCAGACGGGUGAGUAACGCGUGGGAAUCUACCUUUGAGUGGGGAAUAACAAUUAGAAAUGAUUGCUAAUACCGCAUACACCCUCCGGGGGAAAGGCUUCGGCCGCUCUUAGAUGAGCCCGCGUACGAUUAGUUUGUUGGUGAGGUAAAGGCUCACCAAGACUACGAUCGUUAGCUGGUUUGAGAGGAUGAUCAGCCACACUGGGACUGAGACACGGCCCAGACUCCUACGGGAGGCAGCAGUGGGGAAUAUUGGACAAUGGGCGAAAGCCUGAUCCAGCCAUGCCGCGUGAGUGAAGAAGGCCUUAGGGUUGUAAAACUCUUUCGACAGGGAAGAUAAUGACGGUACCUGUAUAAGAAGCUCCGGCUAACUCCGUGCCAGCAGCCGCGGUAAUACGGAGGGGGCAAGCGUUGCUCGGAAUUACUGGGCGUAAAGCGAGCGUAGGCGGUUAAUCAAGUUGGUGGUGAAAGCCCGGAGCUCAACUCCGGAACUGCCAUCAAAACUGAGUAACUUGAGAUUGGUAGAGGAAAAUGGAAUUCCUAGUGUAGAGGUGAAAUUCGUAGAUAUUGGGAAGAACAUCGGUGGCGAAGGCGAUUUUCUGGGCCAAAUCUGACGCUGAGGUUCGAAAGCGUGGGUAGCAAACAGGAUUAGAUACCCUGGUAGUCCACGCCGUAAACGAUGAGUGCUAGACGUUGGGAAUUUAUUUUUCAGUGUCGUAGUUAACGCAUUAAGCACUCCGCCUGGGGAGUAC